rnacentral:ncRNA from 2 species
GUUCGUCUUCAGGGGCAGGGUGAAAUUCCCGACCGGCGGUGAUAGUCCGUGAACCGUGCAUGUGCACGGCCGACUUGGUGGAAAUCCGAGACCGAUAGUAUAGUCUAGAUAAACGAAGAUGGGG